rnacentral:rRNA from 1 species
GAUGAACGCUGGCGGCGUGCCUAAUACAUGCAAGUCGAGCGAACAGAUGAUAAGCUUGCUUCUCUGAUGUUAGCGGCGGACGGGUGAGUAACACGUGGGUAACCUACCUAUAAGACUGGGAUAACUCCGGGAAACCGGGGCUAAUACCGGAUCAUAUAUUACACCGCAUGGUUCGAUAGUGAAAGACGGUUUCGGCUGUCACUUAUGGAUGGACCCGGGCCGAAUUAGCUAGUUGGUAAGGUAACGGCUUACCAAGGCGACGAUACGUAGUCGACCUGAGAGGGUGAUCGGCCACACUGGAACUGAGACACGGUCCAGACUCCUACGGGAGGCAGCAGUAGGGAAUCUUCCGCAAUGGGCGAAAGCCUGACGGAGCAACGCCGCGCGAGUGAUGAAGGUCUUCGGAUCGUAAAACUCUGUUGUUAGGGAAGAACAAAUUUGUUAGUAACUGAACAAGUCUUGACGGUACCUAACCAGAAAGCCACGGCUAACUACGUGCCAGCCGCCGCAGUAA